rnacentral:lncRNA from 1 species
CACCAGCUUUCCCUCAUCCAUCCGUGCGGUGUCUGGGUACGCGAGAGGUCUGUGUACCCAGUGGACCAGCCCUGCUCUGUCCUCACGUCGCGGCCGACAGCUGAGGGUCGACUUACACGGCCGCGAGGUCCGUUUUACAGGUGAUAAAAAAAGCACAGGCAACCUGCGGACCCUGCAACUGGGGCCUGCUCUGCCCUCGCCUUCCCCGGCUCAGGAAACGGCACGUCUCCCCUUACAGCGGCUCGGCUGGGAACCCCGGGUCCUCCUGGCCUCCCGUAGUCAACUCCACAUUCGCCGCUCGGACAAAUGCUGCCUCCGCGCUCGGAGCGGCUCUCCAGCUCCCCAUCCUGUUGCGGCCACCCGCCUCUCGACCUCUGCCCUCGCCUCCCAGCGCAUCCCUCUGUGGAGGGAACAGGCGGCCAGAAGGAGUCUGCGGAAUAAAAGGCAGGUCACCCAGUGCUCAGCUCAGAACUCUCGACUGGCUUCUCAUCUGAGAGCAAAUGGCGAUGUCUUUUUCUUUUUAGGAGGUAUCGGGGAUUGAACCCAGGACCUCGCACGUGGGAGGCAGGCGCUCAGCCACUGAGCUACUCCCGCUCCCCAAGGCAAUGUCUACUCAGCCUCCUCUCCUACCACACAUGCUCUUCCCCUCGCCUCACUCCCCUUUGUCCGAAAUAGCCUCCUUAACGAUCCGUGAGCCGGCCAAGCUUGUUCCUGCCUCCAGCUCUGCUCCUGCCAUAUUUCCCGCCUACAACCCCUUCCCCUGGAUCAUCCCUCCAAGCCUCGGCCCCAAUGUCACUGAGCAAGAUAUUCCUCACGCUCGCCCUUUCUAAACAGCCCCGUCGCCCGCACGCUCCCUUCCCCUGCUUUCUUUUUAUUCUUAGUGCUUCUCACCACCUGAUAUAUGACAUAUUUAGUAGAUUUGGGGUAGUUACAUUCUCUCCCUCCCCAUUAAAAUAAAGGAACGCAGUCCCCUUGGCUCAGAGCUGUAGUCCCCGAACCUGUUCGAGAACAGCGCCUGGCGUUCACCAGG